rnacentral:lncRNA from 10 species
GGGGUUUCCCCGUGUUAGCCAGGUUGGCCUCGAUCCCCUCGUGAUCCGCCCGUCUCGGCCUCCCAAAGUGCUGGGAUUACAGGCAUGAGCCACCGCGCCCGGCCGAAGUGUCAACUUUCAAACUCACUUGGACUCUUCUAAGAAUCCAGUUUUUUGCACUUGUGUUAGGGGGCUGUCGUUAACUCCCAGUGGCCGCUGAGGUCCUUGCCUGUGGAUUCCUGCUUCUCAAAGCCAGCAAGGGCGUGUCAAAUCUGCUCAUGCUUGGAAUCUCUCUGACUUUUCCUUGGGUCACAUAUCUCUUGCUUCACCCUCUGCCACACUUUUUUUUUUCCUGAAAGCCAAAAAGAUUCUUUGCUUUAAGGGGUGAUGUAUUUAGAUUGAGAGCCCACCUGGAUAGUGGGUCCUCUCCCCUCCCGUUUUAGAUUCUCAGGCAGUUCUUUAUAGCAGUGUGAAAACGGACUAAUACACAGUGCUUUGUGCUUGGAAAACGGCAUGAAGGAGAUGGAGGUAAUGUGCGAUGACUGAGAGAAUUUGUAGAACAGCAAAAACCACUGAAAUGCCAUUCUUCAAUAGAGGCACCAGAUCUCCAGGUGUGCCUAAAGAAUCUUGGGGAUGUGUCUUCUGAAGCUAAAGAGACCCCUAAGCAUCCUGCAAAAUACCAGUGCACAACAAUUUGGGACAUAGCUUAAGCUUUCUGCUCGAUGCUGGCGACAAAGAGGAGAAAGACAACUUCUACUCUCAGACAACUUAGUCUGCUUUAGGAGUUACAAACACAGACAAUUUCAACACUGGAUGAAAAUGAUGGGACAAAGGUAAAAGGAGAGAGGAAUGCAUCUCAGCUGAGUUUCAGAAAAAAAAAAAGUUUUGAAGAGAUCUCAAUGUUAGGAAGCCAACAAGGCCUGCAAAAGUCACCUAGAUCAUGAAAUUGACUAUGUCAGGGGAGGCAAUUCGUCACAAUCGUGUUUGAAAAUGAGGAUAAGCAUGGAGAGCCAAUGAUUACAUUUCACAAUGUCCUUCAUGGGUAUGUGAAUAUGAUAGUAGGAAUCUUAGCUCUUCACUUAAAGAAAGAAGCAUUAAAAUUUGGAAUUUUAGAGAGUGAGAUGAUAAAAAGAUACGUGGUAUGGUAUUACCACCUUCUUGGAAUUUCUGAAAAACCAUGUUCAGGACCCAGACAUAGAUAACUGACUCCUUCAUUUGAAUUUUAGGUAGGUACUACCUGUGUUAUUGUGUUUAGUUUCUGAGAUAAAUUGAUAAGCAUUCAGAAGUGCCUGGUGAUAUGAGUUGACUUCUAUAAAAAAUGUGAUGCUUGAGGUAAUCAUGUUUUCUGUUUUGUCCCAUGAAAGUAACAGAAUUUCUAGAAAAUUAAUUUGUUAUUAUGUCUCAACCUUAAUCAGUUGUUGAAGAAAAAAAUAGCUAUUUUAGAUUAAUUUGAUAGAUUCAAAAAUCCUAGGGUGCUAAAAUGACUCAAAUUAUGGUAUUCAAAUAGGAAUAUUUUUAACUGCAUGUCAAUUGCACACUUGCAUGUUAAUUCUUUAGUAUUAAUGAAGCUAAUAUUUACUGAAAGACUAAUAUAUGCGGAUAUUUUAAAUACAUUGUCCCAGUUAAUCCCCAAAAUAAACAACACUCAGAGAUAGCUCAGAAAUUGGGCUUGAAGUAUUUAAAUGCUUGGUUAUGUGGUCACUUGAGUAGUGAGCACAGAUCCAUUAGAGAAGCAGGUAGUAUUAUUUACAUUUGGUAAAUGAGGGAAUUAAGGUUGAGAGAGUGUAAAUACCUGGCUCAAAGUCACAUUACUGGAAUACACAAGUGCCGGAAUCAAGAUUCAAAUAAAAUUUGCUUUAAGCCUCAAUACCCACACUGUAUCUGCAUUCUUAGAAAACAGUAUGGUGCUUCACAUCCUUUAAAGACACUGGAGAAUUUGACAUCUUAAUGAUUAAUUUCUUCUUUAUAAAGUGCACAUGUAAAAAUAUAGAUAGCUGUUAAAUAUUAAUAUUUCUUGUACUGCUUAAUGUUUGUUCCCUCUGUAGUCAUACUUUUCAUAUAGAACUGUUGACAAUGUAAUUUUUAUAGUAUGUAACUUUUCAUAUGUUCUAUAUAUUCUUGUACUGCCAUUAUUUGAUUUAGUCAUUUUGGAUUAAAGAAAAGUAAUUCUUUUCUAGAAUUAA